rnacentral:rRNA from 1 species
UAAGGAAUAUUGGUCAAUGGACGCAAGUCUGAACCAGCCAUGCCGCGUGGAGGAUGAAGGUCCUCUGGAUUGUGAACUUCUUUUAUCUGGGACGAAACACUUCUUUUCUAAGAGGCCUGACGGUACCAGAUGAAUAAGCACCGGCUAACUCCGUGCCAGCAGCCGCGGUAAUACGGAGGGUGCAAGCGUUAUCCGGAUUCACUGGGUUUAAAGGGUGCGUAGGUGGGUAUGUAAGUCAGUGGUGAAAUCCCCGAGCUUAACUUGGGAACUGCCAUUGAUACUAUAUAUCUUGAAUACCGUAGAGNUAAGCGGAAUAUGUCAUGUAGCGGUGAAAUGCUUAGAUAUGACAUGGAACACCAAUUGCGAAGGCAGCUUACUAUGCGGUGAUUGACACUGAGGCACGAAAGCGUGGGUAGCAAACA